GAUGAAGAACGUAGCGAAAUGCGAUACUUGGUGUGAAUUGCAGAAUCCCGUGAACCAUCGAGUCUUUGAACGCAAGUUGCGCCCGAAGCCAUUAGGCCGAGGGCACGCCUGCCUGGGCGUCACACGUCGUUGCCCCCCCAUCUACUCCUUCGGUAUUGCGGGGGGCGGAUGAUGGCCUCCCGUGCGCCUCGUCGCGCGGUUGGCAUAAAUGCCAAGUCCUCGGCGACGCACGCCACGACAAUCGGUGGUUGCGAAACCUCGGUUGCCCGUCGUGUGCGGUCGUCGCGCAUCGAGGGCUCGAAAAAAUUGCCGGGCUCCGGCUCGGCUUUCAACGCGACCCCAGGUCAGGCGGGGUUACCCGCUGAAUUUAAGCAUAUCAAUAAGCGGAGGA
rnacentral:misc_RNA from 1 species